rnacentral:rRNA from 1 species
UGGGGAAUUUUGGACAAUGGGCGCAAGCCUGAUCCAGCCAUGCCGCGUGCGGGAAGAAGGCCUUCGGGUUGUAAACCGCUUUUGUCAGGGAAGAAAUCUUCUGAGUUAAUACCUCGGGAGGAUGACGGUACCUGAAGAAUAAGCACCGGCUAACUACGUGCCAGCAGCCGCGGUAAUACGUAGGGUGCAAGCGUUAAUCGGAAUUACUGGGCGUAAAGCGUGCGCAGGCGGUUUUGUAAGACAGAGGUGAAAUCCCCGGGCUCAACCUGGGAACUGCCUUUGUGACUGCAAGGCUUGAGUGCGGCAGAGGGGGGCAUGGAAUUCCGCGUGUAGCAGUGAAAUGCGUAGAUAUGCGGAGGAACACCGAUGGCGAAGGCAAUCCCCUGGGCCUGCACUGACGCUCAUGCACGAAAGCGUGGGGAGCAAACAGGAUUAGAUACCCUGGUAGUCCACGCCCUAAACGAUGUCAACUGGUUGUUGGGAAGGUUCCUUCUCAGUAACGUAGCUAACGCGUGAAGUUGACCGCCUGGGGAGUACGGCCGCAAGGUU